GAGAAGAAAUGGCCGGAAGUUUGAGGAUUUUCAUGCUCUUGCUAGCGACGGUUGUUUUAACCAUGUGGCCGGAGGUGAGAAUGGGCAGUGCAGCAAUAAGCGCUGCCCAAUGCAAGGAGGAGAGGAGGAUUGGGAUUAAUGCGUGCAAGGCGGUGAUAUAUGGUAAGCUUCCGACACCGGCAUGCUGCGAGCGCAUAAGGGUUACUCAUAUCGAGUGCGUGUGCCCCGAUGUUACACCAAAGUUGGCUGCCCUUAUUGACAUCAACCGCGCCAUACGCCUGGUUGAAGGUUGUGGUAGGAGGGUCCCUCACCACUUCAAAUGUGGGAGUAUCACUACUCCAUAAAUUAAAGUUGGCCAACGUGGUUGAAGGAAGGCUGGGCAACCUUGGAUUAACAAAUAAGAAUGGUUAUGAGUAAUUGGUUCACAGCCUCAUGAUGAUUAUGUAAUGUACUCUUUUCAAACAAAUAAUACUUCCCCUAGCCCAAAGCACAAAGUGAGCAAUAUUGAUAAGAGCACAUCUAAACGCUUCAAUAAAUGAUCCUAUUGAUCUUACCGUGCUUUUUCUUCAACUUCUGUUCGGAGGUUGUUGCUGUUACCUUGCAGAAGUUUGGGUAGGAUUAAAGCUAUCCGUUUUUUCUAUCUUGGUAUUUAAACCACUUUUUGCAGUCCUUAUUGGGAGGAUCGAGACAUUUUAUGACCAUUUUUCUAUUGUUUACUUGUAUUUCUUGCGCUGUAAUUUUUUUGUUGAGUUUGUUGUUGGGAGUCCACCUAUUUUUUAGUGUUUUAAUCCAUGUAACCUUUUCCCUUAUUUGCUUAAGAAGAAAAAAAAGAAAAGAAAAAGAA